CAGAUCUUUACCGUCUAGAUGCAUCAAAAAAAAGGUCCCUGAUGAAUUUAUUUUAUGUUUUUGGCUCUGUAAUGAAAAUUUUAAGAAAGAGCCAUUAUUUCUUGGAGGACAUUAUAAAAUUCCAAAGCAUUUUUUUAUGGGUUCCGAUGGUUUAACAAGAACAAUGGACAGACAGAACAAUGGAUUCCAAUACAGAAGCUUUAUUUUGAACCUGUUAUCUGUCACUGGCCCAUUUUAAACACCAAUGUGAAAAUGCACUUUAAUAAUUAUAAAUCAAGAAUAGUUUGGAAAUGGCGUGUCUUUGUAAAAGAGACGCUCUUUUUUUAUCCUUUGAUUUUGUCCAAUGCAGUGAUUCUAUUUUAAAGAAUUUCCUGUAAAAUUAACGCCAAAUGUGGACUUCCAAAUUUUAAAAAACUGAGAUUUCAUGGCGGAUCAUAAAUUAGCCGCUGGAUGACUUAAAUCUAUGUGGGACAAAAUAUCGCGAUAAUAUUGUAUCAUGAGUUAAGCUGUAUAGAUAUAUUGCAGAAUCGGGAUAUUGUGAGAAAUUAUUACCAGGUUCUAAAUAUAGCGAUGAUGGUAUCAUGCGUUAAGCUGUCUUGAUAUAUCGCAAAAUCGUGAUAUUUCAUUAUGGUGAACAAAAUAUUGCAAUAUCGCAUCAAUUAUCGGGAACAAAAUAUUGCGAUAAUAUGGUAUCAUAGGUUAAGCUAUAUAGACACAUCGCAGAAUUGUGAUAAAGUAAUAUAUCAUUACAGGGGACAAAAUAUUGCGAUAUUGGAUCUUGAGUUAAGCUGUAUUGAUAUUUCGCAGAACCAUGAUAUUGUGAUAUAUCAUUACCAGGGACAAAAUAUUGCAAAAUCUAUUGAUUAUCGGGGCAAAAUAUCUCGAUAAUAUUGUAUCAUGAGUUAAGCUGUGUCGAUAUAUCGCAGAAUCGUGAUAUUGUGAUAUGUCAUUACCGACCACAAAAUCUUGCGAUAAUAUUGUGAGUAUUGUGACUGUCUUGUCAGAAAAGAUUUUCUCUCAGAUGAACAUGCACUUCCAUGACCAGCAUGUUUGGUUCUAAAGACAAACAUCACCAUUUAUUUUUCUCAAAAUUUAUUUAGAUUGGCUAUCGAAUCCAGAUCACGUCUGAAAUGCAGGAUGCUCUCCUUUUAAAGGUUUGCGUGGUAGGACGCGACUCGUUUAGCGGGAUGGUUGUGGUCGAACCGCUCGUAGCCUUAGAGUCUGUUUGUGUUUGUUUGGUGAAGGCUGGUGAAUCUCGUAACGCAACGUGGGAUUUGAUUGUUGUUAGUCAAGACUUCAGUGAUUAACGAAUUGUAAAUAGAUAAGUUUGCCUCCUUUUUUUUUUUUUUAAAGACGUUUAAUAAAUUUUCUGUGAUGGGUGUUUUUAAAUUCUGCUGUGAUUAUUGGGUAGUGUAUGAUUAUAUGCAUGGCUGUUAAAAUAAAAGUGGGUGGGGCUGAAGGCGGAGCUGUGAGCCAGUUGUGGGCGUGUCAAACGAAUGCAACGAACAUACUUUUUGUAUUUAUGAAGAUGAUUGACAGGUGAUGUCCAUCAAUAGCCUGUUCUCUGCUUUAAAAGGAGGCGGGGUCUUGCGCGAGGUUAUUUUAGGAAUAAUGUUUAGAAUCUGAGAGAUUGCGAAGGUCAUUUCAAAAAGGUGCUAUACAAUUUAUUCUUAAACAACUAGAGAAGAAUGAGGUAAAAACUAUAUCGUUAAGAAGUGACCGUCUUGACAAUGACUGUUUUUAUGUUGUGUUUUCUUGAAGCGAGACUAUUAUUUUACUCUUUUACGAAUAUAUUAACAAAAAGGCAUUUUAACUUUGUACUGGAUGAAAAUGUAAAAGUCAAAAAGAUAAAUAAAAUUGUACAGAUUCAUGUGUUUUAGCCUAGACAUUACUGUAGUAUGUGCCUCUCGGUAAGAAACAUUCAUACAUACUGUAUCCACAUGCUGCCUUCAGGUCACGUCGGAAACGUUGCAUUUACGAGUCGAGCGCACAUUAACGUUUUUGGGUUUCGAAGCAGUUAAUUGGUCAUAAUUUGGUUUUCAUUGCAUAGUAAAUGUCAAACUAGGCAGUUUAUGAGGACACAAAACCACAUUUACCAUCAUUCCUUGCAGUAGUGACUAUUGAAAGACACUUCAUGCGCAUCUACUCUUCGUUUCUGCAGAUCAAAUAAAAAAAAACGUCUAGCGUUUGUCAGGAAGUAAAUACAAAACAUUUGAUUCCUUCACGUCAGCUUUCGAACUCGUAAGUCGUAGUUUCCACGCAGGACUUGAAGGCGGCAUUACUGUACACUGUUACGUAACUGCUUGAAAGUGAUGGCAAAACUGCAUUACCCAACAUUCCUUUCUACAACCUCCCUCCGUGUACUCUUGCUACAGUCAGACUGUGUUUUUUUAUUUUAUAUUUGAUUGUUGUUGCCUCAGUAUUUAUUGGCGUACAGCCUCGUCCAUCUGAACAGUCCGCAAGUCUCUUUCUUUGGUAACACACGUAUAUCCUCUUCUCUCACUCUCAGUGUGGCUGUAGUUCUGUUGUAUUUCGAUGGUCUUUGGAGUGUUAUAGUAGCAGUUCAUCCUUCCAUGAUUCUCUCUGUACGCAGUUAAAGCAGCUGAACACAUUUGCUGCUUUACUGUGCACUUGUACUGGGGAACACUUGAAUUAAAUGUACUGUUUUUGUGCUAAAA
rnacentral:lncRNA from 1 species